rnacentral:rRNA from 1 species
GACGAACGCUGGCGGUGCGCCUAAUGCAUGCAAGUCGAACGAGAUCGCUUUCUUCGGGGAGCACAUAUCUAGUGGCGGACGGCUGAGUAACACGUAAGUAAUCUGCCCCGAAGAGGGGGAUAAUCCAGAGAAAUCUGGCCUAAUACCCCGUACCUUCCUUUCCAGCAGGCUGGAUUGGAAGAAAGGCUCCGGCCGCUUUGGGAGGAGCUUGCGGCUUAUCAGGUAGUUGGUGGGGUAAUGGCCUACCAAGCCGAAGACGAGUAACCGGUGUGAGAGCACGAUCGGUCAGAGGGGGACUGAGACACGGCCCCCACUCCUACGGGAGGCAGCAGCAGGGAAUCUUGCGCAAUGGGCGAAAGCCUGACGCAGCGACACCGCGUGGAGGAUGAAGGUCUUAGGAUUGUAAACUCCUUUUAUCAGGGAAGAGAAAGGAC